rnacentral:rRNA from 1 species
CCUAGUAACGGCGAGUGAAGCGGCAACAGCUCAAAUUUGAAAUCUGGCUCUCGGGCCCGAGUUGUAAUUUGUAGAGGAUGCUUUUGAUGCGGUGCCUUCCGAGUUCCCUGGAACGGGACGCCAUAGAGGGUGAGAGCCCCGUCUGGUUGGAUGCCAAAUCUCUGUAAAGCUCCUUCGACGAGUCGAGUAGUUUGGGAAUGCUGCUCUAAAUGGGAGGUAUAUGUCUUCUAAAGCUAAAUACCGGCCAGAGACCGAUAGCGCACAAGUAGAGUGAUCGAAAGAUGAAAAGCACUUUGAAAAGAGAGUUAAAAAGUACGUGAAAUUGUUGAAAGGGAAGCGUUUAUGACCAGACUUGGGCUUGGUUAAUCAUCUGGGGUUCUCCCCCAGUGCACUUUUUCCAGUCCAGGCCAGCAUCAGUUUUCGCCGGGGGAUAAAGGCUUCGGGAAUGUGGCUCCCUCCCGGGGAGUGUUAUAGCCCGUUGCGUAAUACCCUGGCGGGGACUGAGGUUCGCGCAUCUGCAAGGAUGCUGGCGUAAUGGUCAUCAACGACCCGUCUUGAAACACGGACCAAGGAGUCGUCUUCGUAUGCGAGUGUUCGGGUGUCAAACCCCUACGCGUAAUGAAAGUGAACGCAGGUGAGAGCUUCGGCGCAUCAUCGACCGAUCCUGAUGUUCUCGGAUGGAUUUGAGUAAGAGCAUACGGGGCCGGACCCGAAAGAAGGUGAACUAUGCCUGUGUAGGGUGAAGCCAGAGGAAACUCUGGUGGAGGCUCGCAGCGGUUCUGACGUGCAAAUCGAUCGUCAAACAUGGGCAUGGGGGCGAAAGACUAAUCGAACCUUCUAGUAGCUGGUUUCCGCCGAAGUUUCCCUCAGGAUAGCAGUGUUGAACUCAGUUUUAUGAGGUAAAGCGAAUGAUUAGGGACUCGGGGGCGCUAUUUAGCCUUCAUCCAUUCUCAAACUUUAAAUAUGUAAGAAGCUCUUGUUGCUUAAUUGAACGUGAGCAUUCGAAUGUAUCAACACUAGUGGGCCAUUUUUGGUAAGCAGAACUGGCGAUGCGGGAUGAACCGAACGCGAGGUUAAGGUGCCAGAGUAGACGCUCAUCAGACACCACAAAAGGUGUUAGUACAUCUUGACAGCAGGACGGUGGCCAUGGAAGUCGGAAUCCGCUAAGGACUGU